rnacentral:rRNA from 1 species
UCAGGAUGAACGCUGGCGGCGUGCCUAAUACAUGCAAGUCGAGCGAAUGGAUUAAGAGCUUGCUCUUAUGAAGUUAGCGGCGGACGGGUGAGUAACACGUGGGUAACCUGCCCAUAAGACUGGGAUAACUCCGGGAAACCGGGGCUAAUACCGGAUAAUAUUUUGAACCGCAUGGUUCGAAAUUGAAAGGCGGCUUCGGCUGUCACUUAUGGAUGGACCCGCGUCGCAUUAGCUAGUUGGUGAGGUAACGGCUCGCCAAGGCAACGAUGCGUAGCCGACCUGAGAGGGUGAUCGGCCACACUGGGACUGAGACACGGCCCAGACUCCUACGGGAGGCAGCAGUAGGGAAUCUUCCGCAAUGGACGAAAGUCUGACGGAGCAACGCCGCGUGAGUGAUGAAGGCUUUCGGGUCGUAAAACUCUGUUGUUAGGGAAGAACAAGUGCUAGUUGAAUAAGCUGGCACCUUGACGGUACCUAACCAGAAAGCCACGGCUAACUACGUGCCAGCAGCCGCGGUAAUACGUAGGUGGCAAGCGUUAUCCGGAAUUAUUGGGCGUAAAGCGCGCGCAGGUGGUUUCUUAAGUCUGAUGUGAAAGCCCACGGCUCA